UUUCUUUCAUCUGAAUGAGAAACUUCUUGUCACAUGCUCUGAGCCAUCAGGAAGCGAACCUCAAAUUGGGAUCUGAGUCUCGGUUGGUACAAGCCAGAACCCCAGCCUGCCUUAAACGAGCAUGGGAACAACCACAGCUCUGACAGCACUGCUGUUCUUCUGAGCUGACAGGCCUGAACUGAAGGAAGGCUGAGCACCAAGCGCUCCGGUUCAAAUUACUGUGUGGCAGGUACAUUGAAAAGCCUCAGACUUGCUUUCCUAAUU
rnacentral:lncRNA from 1 species